rnacentral:rRNA from 1 species
CCUACGGGAGGCAGCAGUCGAGAAUCAUUCACAAUGGGGGAAACCCUGAUGGUGCGACGCCGCGUGGGGGAAUGAAGGUCUUCGGAUUGUAAACCCCUGUCAUGUGGGAGCAAAUUAAAAAGAUAGUACCACAAGAGGAAGAGACGGCUAACUCUGUGCCAGCAGCCGCGGUAAUACAGAGGUCUCAAGCGUUGUUCGGAAUCACUGGGCGGAAAGCGUGCGUAGGCUGUUUCGUAAGGCGUGUGUGAAAGGCGCGGGCUCAACCCGCGGACGGCACAUGAUACUGCGAGACUAGAGUAAUGGAGGGGGAACCGGAAGUCUCGGUGUAGCAGGGAAAUGCGUAGAUAGCGAGAGGAACACUCGUGGCGAAGGCGGGUUCCUGGACAUUAACUGACGCUGAGGCACGAAGGCCAGGGGAGCGAAAGGGAUUAGAUACCCCAGUAGUC